UGGGGAAUAUUGCACAAUGGGCGCAAGCCUGAUGCAGCCAUGCCGCGUGUAUGAAGAAGGCCUUCGGGUUGUAAAGUACUUUCAGUCGGGAGGAAGGUGUCAAGGUUAAUAACCUUGGCAAUUGACGUUACCCGCAGAAGAAGCACCGGCUAACUCCGUGCCAGCAGCCGCGGUAAUACGGAGGGUGCAAGCGUUAAUCGGAAUUACUGGGCGUAAAGCGCACGCAGGCGGUCUGUCAAGUCGGAUGUGAAAUCCCCGGGCUUAACCUGGGAACUGCAUUCGAAACUGGCAGGCUAGAGUCUUGUAGAGGGGGGUAGAAUUCCAGGUGUAGCGGUGAAAUGCGUAGAGAUCUGGAGGAAUACCGGUGGCGAAGGCGGCCCCCUGGACAAAGACUGACGCUCAGGUGCGAAAGCGUGGGGAGCAAACAGG
rnacentral:rRNA from 1 species